CCCCCAAGGGGGGAACCUUGGCCAAAUUUAUACCGCCAAAAUCCCUCCCAGGGUUUUCCCAUCCCUUUGCCCCUUAAAAAAAAAGGGUCCCAUAGGGCCCCGAACCAAGAUCCACAAUGGUGUGGCAAGGUCGUUCCCUUAAAAUAUAGUUUAAGUCCCGAUCAGUCCUCCCUUGAUGUAAGUGCCCAUAAAGAUUUGGCCCCUUUAGGAAAUUCCCGGUUCCACCCUAAGGAAGGUUGGAUCCGUCAAAUCGUCAACCCGUAUACUGUCUUAACCGGGCUACAAUGGUCGAUACUGGCGGUGCCACCUUCGCGAGAGGGACAUAAUCCCGAUAGAUCCGUUCUCAUGUUCGCAUGUAGGCUGUAUUCGCGUGCAUGAACCGAAGUCAGCUAGUAAUCGCGGGUAGCAUGCCGUGGUGAAUACGUUUCGGGCCUUGAACACUACCGCCCGUCACGCGACGAGAGUUGAACACCCGAAGUCGGGAGGAACCUCCGGAGCACGCGACUACAGUCCAACUC
rnacentral:rRNA from 1 species